CACAGUACAAUACGUCUAGUCUUUAACGCCAUUCACAGCGCAUUUGGCGCAGUCCUGGUUUGUAUUUUCCUCCCUUCCUGUGCACGGAGCUCGGAGAUCGUGUGUCUGAAAAGCACUCGCUAAUCCCAGUGAAUAGCACGGCCUCUCACGUUAAAAAGGUUUGAGAAAAUCGCAUGUGGCAACACAGAAGACGGCACCUGCCAGGAUAAUUAAACGGAUAAGCAGUGGAAAUGCGGGCAGUGGAAUAGAUGGACGACAAGAUUUGUUGUACCCCUACAGGAAUAUGAAAGAACACAGCGGGAAUUGCUUGUUAGGCUGAUCAUGGCGUCGGAUGCCUGUCUUCAAUCAUAUCCAGACAGAGCUAUGAAAGCGGCUGGGGCACAGAGGGCAUUAGAAGACAAGAGCAGGAGAUCGCACAGGUGGACCCUGUGAAUCCAUGCGGACGGUCGCUGGAAUUAAAUCAGUGGAGCAGCCUGUCAGUCCUGGAGGCACAACGGACACAAACAUGCAGCUCUUCGCAUUUCAGUGCUGCUCCCAGACCCAGACCCACAAUACCAGCAUGGACACAAACACGCUCAGACAGAACAGGCUAAAUGCACUUCGGUCUACAGAGGCUACCCAGACGAGGUCAUUCAUGCUUAUAAUUCCAUCUAUCGACCGGCCAAAUGCAAUUUUCAUCGGUGCCAAUAUGUGUCUGUGAUGCACACACCGUUCAUAAUCGACGGAAGACUGUGUCUGACAUUUUUGAUAAUUGCUCAUACUGGUUUUGCACAGUGACACAAUGAGCAGCACAGUAACCUCACAUCUCCAGGUUACUGGUGUCCCCUCUCUAGUGCUCUGUGCAUUGUGGGAUUGGCUCCAGGCUCGUUGUAACCCUGUACUGGAUCAAUGAUUUCGGAAUGUGCUUAUCUAUGAUAAUCCCAUAUUU